rnacentral:lncRNA from 1 species
GUUGUUUUGUUUAUUUCACUGAAGAUGCAUCAUCACUAUACCUACUUAAGCAUAUUCUCUGCAUCUGUAUUUAUUUAAAAAUGCUUUUGCAACCUGACACUGUUCAGCUUUUUUAUCUUUUACCAGUAUUUGGGGACUUAUUGGGGAUUCCUUUGAUAAUUUCAGGAAGAAAGAAGUGGAAUGGAAGGAGCCAGUAACUGUCCCAGGUCAGAAAACGUAUCCAAAGUUCAUUGGAUAACUGCACCCUCAACAAUCAGGUAUAAAACUGCUGUUUAAUUACCCGAUAUUAUCCAUACUUUUAGAAUGAGAGUGUGCAUUUUAAAGUUAUGCAAACAUAACUUUCAUAUUUGGUCUAAUUGUUGGCUGUUUUGUUCAUUCCAGGAGACAAUAAGUGGUGUAGACAGAGCUAAUAUCUUCCCCAAAUCAGAUGGUACCUCUGAAGACAUUCAGCAUUCCACAGACUGUUCACAGGUUGAGACUUUCCACAUUCAGGAGACAAUAAAGGGUAUGAACCAAGCCAGUAACUGCCCCAAAUCAGAUGGUGCCUCUGAAGACAAUCAGCAUUGCACAGACAGUCCACAGCAUGACAGUAUCUUCCACAUUCAGGAGACAAUAAAGGGUAUGAACCAAGCCAGUAACUGCCCCAAAUCAGAUGGUGCCUCUGAAGACAAUCAGCAUUGCACAGACAGUCCACAGCAUGACAGUAUCUUCCACAUUCAGUGGCUCUUGAUGUAG